GAUGAACGCUAGCGGCAGGCCUAAUACAUGCAAGUCGAACGGUGUAGCAAUACACAGUGGCGCACGGGUGCGUAACACGUAUGCAACCUACCUUACAUUGGGGGAUAGCCUUUCGAAAGGGAGAUUAAUACCGCAUAAGACAGUAACUAGGCAUCUAGUAGCUGUUAAAGAUUUAUCGAUGUAAGCUGGGCAUGCGUCCAAUUAGUUAGUUGGCGAGGUAAUGGCUCACCAAGACGAUGAUUGGUAGGGGAACUGAGAGGUCAAUCCCCCACACUGGCACUGAGAUACGGGCCAGACUCCUACGGGAGGCAGCAGUAGGGAAUAUUGGGCAAUGGGCGCAAGCCUGACCCAGCCAUGCCGCGUGCAGGAAGAAGGCGUUAUGCGUUGUAAACUGCUUUUAUACAGGAAGAAACGACCCUUGCGAGGGGCAUUGACGGUACUGUAUGAAUAAGCACCGGCUAACUCCGUGCCAGCAGCCGCCGUAAGAC
rnacentral:rRNA from 1 species